GACGAACCGUGCGAACGUUGUUCGGAAUCACUGGGCUUAAAGGGCGCGUAGGCGGCCCGCCAAGUCAGGGGUGAAAGCCCCCAGCUCAACUGGGGAAGGGCCUUUGAUACUGGCGGGCUCGAGCGGGAUAGGGGCGGACGGAACUUCCGGUGGAGCGGUGAAAUGCGUUGAUAUCGGAAGGAACGCCGGUGGCGAAAGCGGUCCGCUGGGUCCCUCCUGACGCUGAGGCGCGAAAGCCAGGGGAGCAAACGGG
rnacentral:rRNA from 1 species